AAACUCAAAGGAAUUGACGGGGGCCCGCACAAGCGGUGGAGUAUGUGGUUUAAUUCGAUGCAACGCGAAGAACCUUACCUGGCCUUGACAUGUCUGGAAUCCUGCAGAGAUGCGGGAGUGCCUUCGGGAAUCAGAACACAGGUGCUGCAUGGCUGUCGUCAGCUCGUGUCGUGAGAUGUUGGGUUAAGUCCCGCAACGAGCGCAACCCUUGUCCUUAGUUGCCAGCGAGUAAUGUCGGGAACUCUAAGGAGACUGCCGGUGACAAACCGGAGGAAGGUGGGGAUGACGUCAAGUCCUCAUGGCCCUUACGGCCAGGGCUACACACGUACUACAAUGGUCGGUACAGAGGGUUGCAAUACCGCGAGGUGGAGCCAAUCCCAGAAAGCCGAUCCCAGUCCGGAUCGGAGUCUGCAACUCGACUCCGUGAAGUCGGAAUCGCUAGUAAUCGCGGAUCAGCUAUGCCGCGGUGAAUACGUUCCCGGGCCUUGUACACACCGCCCGUCACACCAUGGGAGUGGGUUGCUCCAGAAGCCGUUAGUCUAACCGCAAGGAGGACGACGACCACGGAGUGGUUCAUGACUGGGGUGAAGUCGUAACAA
rnacentral:rRNA from 1 species